rnacentral:lncRNA from 1 species
CACGCACCCCAAUCUGUCUGCAUCCCCUUCAUUUGCCAGCUCAGCAAAUACAGAGACAAUUAAGGAGUCAAUUAGCAGGCAGUUGGGAAGGAGCCGGGACCCAUGAACCCCUCCUCCACCCAUCCACACUCUGUGCUACCCCCAGCCAUGACCCUCACCUUCUCCCUCUGCGUUCGCUCUUUUCUAGUCCGUAUGUUCCUCUAUCCUCUCCACACACUUCUCCGCCACCCACCCUCACCCUCUCUGCUCCUACGCUGCAUUGUCCUCGCUUCUUCCUUCCUCCCUGUUCCUCUCUCCUCCCCCACUCCGCUCUGGCCCCUUCCUCACCCGAGUCACUGGCUUCUCCCUUCCUGCUGCCCACGUUCUCCUCCCAUCCCCGUGUCCCUUAGCUCUCUGUCCAGUCUACCUUCUCCUCUCACCAACACCCUGUCCUUGCCAACUGGAAUCGGGCUCUCAGUAAAUGUGCCUCCGUCUCUGGUUCACAGAUGUGGGGCUCUGCAUGUGCUGCAGGAGUUGAAUCCUGCAUUAUAGUUUACAAAGGAUAAACUUUGAUACCAUACCAACACUACCUUGGUGGACCUGAGGAGAAACCUGUGAGGUAUGGAUGGUAUUAUUAUUUCUAGUUUAUAUUUGAAGAAGUGAAGCACAUAAGACUUAAAAGUGAUAAAGUAGGGGCAGGGGUGUAGGUAUGUGGUAAAAUGUAUGGGAGGUCCUGGGUUCCAUCCCUAGUGUGUGCGCACGCACACACACACACACACAAUAAUGUAGUGGGUUAAGUGGUAUGCUUGCCACACAACAGUGCUCCAGCAAUGCUAAAACAGUCAAGUUUACUUAUGCAGGCUGGCUAUUUAGUUCAGUGGUGCCCUG